GUUGUCGUCGAAAGAACUGGUGGGAUUUCGUGAAGGCCAUUUGAUGCCGCUUUGGAACUGGCUUUGGGAAGGCUGGGGCAAGCUUGGCGGAUUUCCAGGAACUCCUUAUGAGUCUGCAUCCCGAGGAACCAACCAAGUCCAGUCAGAAAGAUCACAAGGCAGGUUUUAUGUUUUUUUAAAGCGAGGCUUUGGUUUUCUGGGAAGAGUGCAUUCUUCGAGAUGCUCCCACCGAGAGUUCCUCGUGGCGGGGGCGUGAAGGCGUCAGGCAGGGAGUGUGGGAAGAGCCCCUUGUGUGUUUCAUCUGCAAGUGAGGUAGGGUGUGGGGGGUCUUUGCUAAAUCUUGUUUCUUAGGUACCUUUACCAUACACUGAUCAGAGUCUAAGUAUAUCGUUUCGACUUGGUUUGUAAUUAUAACCACAUUUGGAUGUCUCUGUACUGUUUUCCACAAUUACUUAACCACCGUGGGGAAAAUGCAAAGGGAAUAAUGUUUCAUCUUCACUGCAGCGAUGAGCAGGUAACUCAAAACAAAAAAAUGCAGAGAGUUUCUCAGCUUUGAUUGAAUCCAUCAGUCCCUUGAGGGAAACCAACUGGAGGAAGACAAGCGAUCCCAGAAGGUGAUGGGGUCUUCUCAUGAGAGCUGGCCACCCGUCUGACCUGCCCGCAGUUACGACCCUCUCUGCCGCUGCAGCGGCAGCCAGAGUUGAGGCUUUUUCUCUGUGGUUCAUGUGACCUUGUGUUCCCAGUAUUUACCAAAUAUUUUACAUAGUUUUCCAAAAAAUUUCCUCCUUCAUUUCCCACAGUGUACACAUUCAGACCAUAAAAGGACCUAUUGAGAUCAAUGUUAAAAUUUCACAAAUGACAGUGUCUCUUAAUGAUGGGUUUUUCGCUUUGGAUUUACAGGGGCUGAGAGUAGUUUAAUGGUAGGCUCAGUUUUUCUAAAUCUUUGACAUUUUCCAUUUGCUUCCUCGAGAUAAUCCGCCUUGAUGGAGAGGGCUUCACAACAUUGACUUCCUUAACCUCAAUAGUCAUUAGUUGAGCAAGUACUUCUUGCAGUCACUUUUUUCUGUACUGUGGAGGAUACCAAAUUAAAAGAAGGGGACUUCUCAGAUGUAGUGCCCGCUUUCUAGACUCUUCCAUGGGUCUAGAUGGGAGGAAUGGGGAGGAGAACUAGCAGAUUGUAGUGUACGCUCCAUUGGAGGUAGACAGAAACAUGGGACUCUCGGGGUCCAGUACAUUCACUCCGUCUGGAUGGGCUUGAGGAAGGCUUGUGGAUGGGGCAUUUGAACUUGGCAUUGCAUUAUUAUUGGAUAGAAAUAGGCAGAUGGAGAGGGGUGGGAAGGCAUUUUAAAUAAUGGCAACGGCUUAAGUGAAGGUUCGAAUGUGGACCAGCACGUGGCAUUUGUUGGGAGAAGGGGACGGAUGAGUUGUUCAGUGUAGGAGAUUGUGGUCUUAGCCAGAGAAGCUGUAGUAGAAGAUGGGGUGUUUACUGGAGUCCAUAUGUGUGCUGAGUAUCCUCUUGCCAUUUAGGUACCAGCGAGAACUCAAAAAAUCUGUCAAAGACAAAAACUAAAAAAACAGCAACAGUAUAUAUGAUGGUUAAGAAGGCAAGAUUUUGAAGCGGGAUUGCCUGGGUUUGAAAUCUGAAUAGCUUUGUGACCUUGGGUAGGUUAUUUGGUCUCUCUGAUGGCCCAGGUUCCUCACAUCUACUUAGGGGUUUAUGGCAAGGAUUAAAUGACUAGUAUGUGAAGUAUUCAGGACAGUGCCUGGCAUAUAGUAGAGCAGGGUACAAGUAUCAGCAACUUGAAGUAGCAGUAGUUAGUGGUAAGAGCAGUGAUGGCAUCACUAUUUGGGUAUAAUGUGCAGUUAGAUUUUUUUUUUCCUCUGAGAAAGAUUAGAUUGGUCUUUCUGUAGAUUACUUAUUCUGUGUAAUUUCGCAUUAGUCAAACUGUAGCAUCCCAGGCCUGAAAGCGCACGAAGACUCUCAUGGAGUCUUGAAUGCACCUGUCUGGAUACCGAGAACCCAUGCGCUUUGCCUUGCAGCUGUCUAGUUACUGACGGCUUCCUGGCAUGCAGCCCAGUUGGGAAGGUUGAUUGGUUGUCUAGCUUAUCACUGGUGUGUGUGUAAUGGAAUAAAUAAGGAAGAAAAUGAAAUUGUGUGUAUCUAUAAAGUGUUUUGGGUGCCAGCAGCAGAAACUGACUGUGGCUAACUUUUCAGCCUUGGAGAACUUACUCGAAGGCUGUUGAAAACUCCUAGAGUGGGUGGAAUGCGGGCACCAAACUUGAGAAAAGGCAAGGACUAAGCAGCAUGGGUGCCCGGGAAGCACAGCAGCCGUUUCAUAGGCAAAUGUCCUGGUCCACGUAGCCCCGUCAGUGUCACUGUGACUUAGGACAGCUGCCUUCCAACCCUGACAUUGCUUCAUGUGACUGCCCUGUUACAAAGGCAAAGGGGUCAGAAUCCAUUAUGGAACAGCCGUGGGAUGCCCUGUGGCCCUUAAACAUUUCAUGCAAUAGUAUUUAAUGACAUGGAAACUGUUCGCACAUGCUAUUUAAGUGAAAAUGGCAGGUAGCAAAACUGUAUGGGUAGGAUAAUGAUAUUUAAACAUGCAAUGAAGUAGCUGCUAUUACUCUUCUUUUUGAAAGACAGGCGUGGAGCUCCGGACGCACUUUGCCCAAGAUCACAUGGCUAGUGAGUGGGGAGGCAGGAUUUAAACCUGGAGUUAGCCCCCAGAACGAGGCACUUGGCCCCUUGAUGGCAUGCUCUCUGACAAAGAAAGACUAAUUGAAAACAGUCGUAGGGGGGUUCCCUUCGUGGCUCACCGGUUAAUGAACCCGACUAGGAUCCAUGAGGAUGUGGGUUCGAUCCCUGCCCUCGCCAAGUGGGUUAAGGAUCCGGCUCAGCUGUGAGCUGUGGUUUAGAUCAAAGAUGCGGCUCGCAUCUGGCAUUGCUGGGACUGUGGUGUAGGUUGGCAGCUACAGCUCUGAUUAGACCCCUAGCCUGGGAACUUCCAUAUACCGCUGGUACGGCCCUAAAAAGCAAAAAACCCAAAAAACACAAAAACAGUAAUAGGGGUUAUAGCUAGGUGGUUGAGGUUAAGAGUGCUUUUAUUAUUUACUCUAAUUUCUUCCUUUUUUCGUCUUUUGUCUUUUUAGGUCCGCUUCCGCAGCAUAUGGAGGUUUCUAGGCUGGGGUCUAAUUGGAGCUGUGGCCACUGGCCUAUGCCAGAGCCACAGCAACGCCAGGUAGGAGCCGUGUCUGCGACCUACACCACAGCUCACGGCAACACUGGAUCCUUAACCCACUGAGCGAGGCCAGGGAUCGAACCCGCAACCUCGUGGUUCCUAGUCAGAUGUGUUUCAGGUGCGUCACGAUGGGAACCCCUCACUCAAAUUUCUAUGAGUGUUUGUUCCGUCUAUAGUGACCAAACUGAUUAAGUUACUGUAAACGUGUAAAGUUUUAGAAGAGUUUUCUUCCAGCUCUGUGUCCAGAAAUACUCACUGCAAUUAUGCUAUAAAUGUGUAACCAGAAAUCUCAGAAGUUAUCUGCAUUAAUACAUGCGCUUCCUCUUUGAACUUGCGUGUGUCCUGCGGUGUGUGUUGCCAUGAAUAGGGCAAGUGAUUACCAUCAUCAAAACCAGGAACUAUUAUCGGGACUUUAAACUCAGGGUUGCUGCAUUUUCAGGAUUAUAUCAAAGCAUUGGCGAGAUAGUUUGAGUUUUAAGUGGGAAGAUUUACAUCUGUGAAGCUUUUUAAGAUUUGUGUGUGUCACGUCCUGGCACAAGUUUCUCGUUUGUAGUCUGGUUGUGAAAAGACUCGGGUUUGCAUAUGUAUAUGCAAAAUACUCUUGAGUCAUAGAUUCACAUGAGUAAUAGACAUUAUAGCCAUAUCAGCUUUCUGCUUUGUCAUGUGGUAGCAUGAAGGCCAUGCAUUUAUUUCAGUCUUUGGAAUAGCAAACACUGAAUUUGCAAAAUGGGAUGAGUUUUAAAUAAUCGCCCCAACUUUUUUUUUUUUUUUUACUUUCCAAAAACUACUUUGUUGGAACAAAAAUUGGUAUUUCAUUUCACAGGAAGUCAGGGAAAAGGCCCUCGUGUGCGUGCAUAGAGGUGCAUGUAUAUGGUGCUGGGUGGUGGCUGCGCCUUGUGAGAAAAUUAAGAGCACCGCGUCUCCCACUUCUCACCCUUCUCGUUAAUAAGCCUCACAUCUGAAGCCUCGGGACCUGUGACAUGAGUCAUUUUAUGCACCACUAAAAGAGAAAAAAAUGCUGUGAAUUAAAUGACAACGCUAUCUUAUUAUUUAUAAUUUGUGUGUGUCUUUUAGGGCUGCACCUGUGGCAUAUGGAUUAUUUAUAAUUUGUGUGUGUCUUUUAGGGCUGCACCUGUGGCAUAUGGAGGUUCCCAGGCUAGGGGUCCAAUCGGAGCUGAAGCCACUGGCCUACACCACAGCCACAGCGACGUAAGAGCCGAGCCGUGACUGCAACCUACACCACAGCUGGAUCCUACUGGGAGGGGCCAUGGAUCGAACCGGCGUCCUCAUGGAUCCUGAUUGGGUUCGUUAACCCCUGAGCCCUGAAGGGAACUCUGUUUCUUAUCGUCUAUAAUUUUUAUUUAUACUCCUGAAGGAGAGACUUAUUUAAGUACAGUUUUUUUUUUUAAUCAGGCUGUAUUCUUCUGCAUUAAAAUUAGAAAGUAUAAGGCAAAUCGAUUAAAGAAUUCCUAAAAUAUAUUCACAUUCAGUGCCCACCUCUUCUGAAUCACCGUCGACCCAGAACCAGCACUGUGUGUGUAUUUCCACAUCCCGAACCACAAAGAGUGUUGGCAGGGCAACUUUUUUAGAAGAGUGGUCCAUUCUUCUCUCUAAGUUUUUGAAAACUGCUUGAUUGAGAUUAAAAUUCACAUACAUACCAUACAAUGCACCCAUUUAAGAGCAGAGUUCAGUGGGUUUUGGUAUAUUACAUUAUUAAUUUUUUAAAACUGUGAUAAAAUAUAUAUAAGAAAAUUUGCUAAAAUGUAACCCCUUUGAAGUAUACUAAACUGUGGCAUGGCAUUCAUAGUGUGCUCCCAUCACCACUCUCUCUUUCCAAAACUCUCUUUCAUCACCCCGAACAAGCCCCAUAACCAUUAAGCAAUAACACUUCAUUUCCGCCUCUCCCAACCCCCUGGUAAGCUCUAGUUUAUCUUCUGUCUUUUUGUAUCUGACUUUUUUCACUAAGCGUAAUAUCUUCAGGGUUCCUUCAGGUUGUAGCAUGUGUCAGAGUUCUCUUUCAUUUUAUGGUAAAAAUAUUUCAUUCUCUGAAUAUACUAUAAUUUGCUUAUCCAUUCAUCAGUCGCUGGAAACUUGGGCUGUUUCCUCAUUGUAGCUGUUGUGACCUGUACUCCUGUGUUCAUGGGCGUGCAGGUAUCAUUGGAGGGCCUGCUUUCAGUGCCUUUGGGUACAUACCUCGGAGGAGAAUUGCAGGGUCAAGUGGUAAUUGUAGGUUUUACUGCUGGUUCUUUGGAUCUCCACACACAAGGUAAUGACACCCCCAUCCUAACUGGCACUGGCUGGUGGUCAGUGCCUCUCAACUUCAGAGAUGUUAAAUCGAAGGUCUUAGAAUUGAUAAAAUACUGUAUUUUGAUAUUCCAUAAAACUGAGUGCCUUUAAAGAUAUGGUGGGUCAACAUUGCUCUAUUAAAUGAUUUUCAUCUGAAAAUAUUCUUUAAUUUUUUUUUUUUUUGGUCUUUUUGUCUUUUCUAGUGCUGCACCCACGAUAUAUGGAGGUUCCCAGGCUAGGGAUCUAAUCGGAGCUACAGCUGCCAGCCUACACCACAGCUCACGGCAACGCCGGAUCCUUAACCCACCGAGCAAGGUCAGGGAUUGAACCCACAACCUCAUGGUUCCUAGUCGGGUUCGUUAACCACUCAGCCACAAUGGGAACUCCUCAUCUGAAUAUGUUCUUAAAGAUCAUUUUUUUAAAAAUACACUUUUCCCUUAAAAAGGAAUACAUCCUCUUUUUGUACAAUAUUUGGGAAAAAA
rnacentral:lncRNA from 1 species